rnacentral:rRNA from 1 species
GAUGAACGCUAGCUACAGGCUUAACACAUGCAAGUCGAGGGGAAACGACAUCGAAAGCUUGCUUUUGAUGGGCGUCGACCGGCGCACGGGUGAGUAACGCGUAUCCAACCUGCCCACCACUUGGGGAUAACCUUGCGAAAGUAAGACUAAUACCCAAUGAUAUCUCUAGAAGACAUCUGAAAGGGAUUAAAGAUUUAUCGGUGAUGGAUGGGGAUGCGUCUGAUUAGCUUGUUGGCGGGGUAACGGCCCACCAAGGCUACGAUCAGUAGGGGUUCUGAGAGGAAGGUCCCCCACAUUGGAACUGAGACACGGUCCAAACUCCUACGGGAGGCAGCAGUGAGGAAUAUUGGUCAAUGGACGGAAGUCUGAACCAGCCAAGUAGCGUGCAGGAUGACGGCCCUAUGGGUUGUAAACUGCUUUUAUGUGGGAAUAAAGUGAGGGACGUGUCCCUUUUUGUAGGUACCACAUGAAUAAGGACCGGCUAAUUCCGUG